rnacentral:rRNA from 1 species
GACGAACGCUGGCGGCGUGCCUAAUACAUGCAAGUCGAGCGGACUUUCAAGAAGCUUGCUUUUUGAAAGUUAGCGGCGGACGGGUGAGUAACACGUGGGCAACCUGCCUGCAAGACGGGGAUAACUCCGGGAAACCGGGGCUAAUACCGGAUAAUAUCUUCCUUCGCAUGAAGGAAGGUUGAAAGGCGGCGCAAGCUGCCGCUUGCAGAUGGGCCCGCGGCGCAUUAGCUAGUUGGUGAGGUAACGGCUCACCAAGGCGACGAUGCGUAGCCGACCUGAGAGGGUGAUCGGCCACACUGGGACUGAGACACGGCCCAGACUCCUACGGGAGGCAGCAGUAGGGAAUCUUCCGCAAUGGACGAAAGUCUGACGGAGCAACGCCGCGUGAGCGAAGAAGGUCUUCGGAUCGUAAAGCUCUGUUGUCAGGGAAGAACAAGUACCGUUCGAACAGGGCGGUACCUUGACGGUACCUGACCAGAAAGCCACGGCUAACUACGUG